rnacentral:rRNA from 1 species
UUGAACGCUGGCGGCAGGCCUAACACAUGCAAGUCGAGCGGAUGAAGGGAGCUUGCUCCUGGAUUCAGCGGCGGACGGGUGAGUAAUGCCUAGGAAUCUGCCUGGUAGUGGGGGAUAACGUCCGGAAACGGGCGCUAAUACCGCAUACGUCUUGAGGGAGAAAGUGGGGGAUCUUCGGACCUCACGCUAUCAGAUGAGCCUAGGUCGGAUUAGCUAGUUGGUGGGGUAAAGGCCUACCAAGGCGACGAUCCGUAACUGGUCUGAGAGGAUGAUCAGUCACACUGGAACUGGGACACGGUCCAGACUCCUACGGGAGGCAGCAGUGGGGAAUAUUGGACAAUGGGCGAAAGCCUGAUCCAGCCAUGCCGCGUGUGUGAAGAAGGUCUUCGGAUUGUAAAGCACUUUAAGUUGGGAGGAAGGGCGGUAAGUUAAUACCUUGCUGUUUUGACGUUACCAACAGAAUAAGCACCGGCUAACUUCGUG